GGUCAGGAUGAACGCUAGCUACAGGCUUAACACAUGCAAGUCGAGGGGCAGCAUUGGAGUAGCAAUACUCAGAGUGGCGACCGGCGCACGGGUGAGUAACACGUAUCCAACCUGCCGCUUACUCGGGGAUAGCCUUUCGAAAGAAAGAUUAAUACCCGAUGGUAUAAAGAGUUCGCAUGUUCUCUUUAUUAAAGAAUUUCGGUAAGCGAUGGGGAUGCGUUCCAUUAGAUAGUUGGCGGGUAACGGCCCACCAAGUCUACGAUGGAUAGGGGUUCUGAGAGGAAGGUCCCCCACAUUGGAACUGAGACACGGUCCAAACUCCUACGGGAGGCAGCAGUGAGGAAUAUUGGUCAAUGGACGAGAGUCUGAACCAGCCAAAGUAGCGUGAAGGAUGACUGCCCUAUGGGUUGUAAACUUCUUUUAUAAGGGAAUAAAGUGAGGGACGUGUCCCUUUUUGUAUGUACCUUAUGAAUAAGGAUCGGCUAACUCCGUGCCAGCCGCCGC
rnacentral:rRNA from 1 species